rnacentral:piRNA from 1 species
UNUAUGUCUCGCUGCUUAGUGCCCUGGG